AGAGCUUGCUCUCUGGGUGGCGAGUGGCGGACGGGUGAGGAAUACAUCGGAAUCUACUCUGUCGUGGGGGAUAACGUAGGGAAACUUACGCUAAUACCGCAUACGACCUACGGGUGAAAGCAGGGGAUCUUCGGACCUUGCGCGAUUGAAUGAGCCGAUGUCGGAUUAGCUAGUUGGCGGGGUAAAGGCCCACCAAGGCGACGAUCCGUAGCUGGUCUGAGAGGAUGAUCAACCACACUGGAACUGAGACACGGUCCAGACUCCUACGGGAGGCAGCAGUGGGGAAUAUUGGACAAUGGGCGCAAGCCUGAUCCAGCCAUACCGCGUGGGUGAAGAAGGCCUUCGGGUUGUAAAGCCCUUUUGUUGGGAAAGAAAUCCAGCUGGCUAAUACCCGGUUGGGAUGACGGUACCCAAAGAAUAAGCACCGGCUAACUUCGUGCCAGCAGCCGCGGUAAUACGAAGGGUGCAAGCGUUACUCGGAAUUACUGGGCGUAAAGCGUGCGUAGGUGGUCGUUUAAGUCCGUUGUGAAAGCCCUGGGCUCAACCUGGGAACUGCAGUGGAUACUGGGCGACUAGAGUGUGGUAGAGGGUAGCGGAAUUCCUGGUGUAGCAGUGAAAUGCGUAGAGAUCAGGAGGAACAUCCAUGGCGAAGGCAGCUACCUGGACCAACACUGACACUGAGGCACGAAAGCGUGGGGAGCAAACAGGAUUAGAUACCCUGGUAGUCCACGCCCUAAACGAUGCGA
rnacentral:rRNA from 1 species